rnacentral:tRNA from 1 species
GGGAACGUAGCUCAGUGGUAGAGCGCUUGCCUUGUAUGCAUGAGGCCCUGGGUUCAAUUCCUCAGUACCA